AAGUCGUAACAAGGUUUCCGUAGGUGAACCUGCGGAAGGAUCAUUACUGAUUUGGCGGACCGAGCGUCAGCGAGGUUCCGCGAUCACUUGUAUUUAAAACCCACACUUUGAACGUAUAUGUAUAUUUUUGUAUUUUUUAAUAAUAAAAGAUCACUUUCAACAACGGAUCUCUUGGUUCUC
rnacentral:misc_RNA from 1 species